UCGCAUCUGUGCAUGCAGCAUAUCAAUAAGCGGAGGAAAAGAAACUAACAAGGAUUCCCUUAGUAACGGCGAGUGAAGCGGGAAGAGCUCAAAUUUGAAAUCUUCAAGGUUUUACCUUGACGAAUUGUAGUUUAAAGAAGUGUUUUCUGUUGAAGUUUUGGUAAAAGUUCUUUGGAAUAGGACAUCAUAGAGGGUGAGAAUCCCGUAUUUGACCAUUAUUUUCAGCUGUGUGAUACACUUUCAAAGAGUCGGAUUGCUUGGGAAUGCAGUCCAAAAUGGGUGGUAAAUUUCAUCUAAAGCUAAAUAUUGGCGAGAGACCGAUAGCGAACAAGUACCGUGAGGGAAAGAUGAAAAGAACUUUGAAAAGAGAGUUAAACAGUACGUGAAAUUGUCAAAAGGGAAGCGCUUGACACCAGUGUUGUUUUCUCGAAAAUCAAUUAAAAAGAGUUAGAUUUUGUUGUGUAUUGACCUUAACAGCCUGCAUUUCAAUUUUCUUGCUUUUUUUAAUGCACUUCUCGUUUAACAAGUCAACAUCAGUUUCUUUUGUUGUAAAAAGGUCAUUGGAAGGUGGCUUUCUUUUCGGAGAAAGUGUUUAUAGCCUUUGACUCCUGCAAUCGGAGAGACUGAGGUCUGCAGCGUAGAUCCUUCGGGGUUAGAUACAUUUGUGCUAAGUUAUAGCUUUUUAGUAGACAACUUGUUGACUAUGAUUAGUCUUGUAGCUUACUCGCUUAUGCUAUUUUACCUACGCUUAGGAUGUUGACACACGCGCGUGCUCGACUCUACACAUGACUCUGCGCAUAUCAAUAAGCGGAGGAAAAGGUACCUACGCUUAGGAUGUUGACACACGCGCGUGCUCGACUCUAUACAUGACUCUGUGCAUGCCAUAUCAAUAAGCGGAGGAAAAGAGGGCUAUUACCUACGCUUAGGAUGUUGACACACGCGCGUGCUCGACUCUAUACAUGACUCUGUGCAUAUCAAUAAGCGGAGGAAAAGGAGUAUACCUACGCUUAGGAUGUUGAUGUGAUACUGCGAGCA
rnacentral:rRNA from 1 species